rnacentral:rRNA from 1 species
CUAAUUUGCGCAUGGGGGCAGCCUGAUCCAGCCAUCGCCGCGUGCAGUGAUGAAGGCCUUCGGGUUGUAAAGCUCUUUUUGCCGGGAAGAUAAUGACGGUACUCGUACUGGGUUCCCCGGACCGUUUCAUGCCAGCACCCCCGGCCCUAUGCCAUCCCCCCCGGUAAUAUAAUA